rnacentral:tRNA from 1 species
GCUCAGGUACGCCAACGGGCCGAGCGGCUCAGCUUAAACCUGAGUGCGUGCGAGUUCGAAUCUCGCCCUGGGCA